AAUUGAUUAUGAGCCUAUAACAUAACUGGUCUGAUUACCCAUUGUUUUUUUAAUGUACUGAGUGGCAUUUUUUCGGACCUUUUCUGUUCACAGUCCGUGAUGGGAGUGCCACUUUGUGAAUGAAUGACGUCACUUAAGAAUAGGAGCUGAUUGGUCCUGGUCAGUCAACCAAACUAUUUAAGGUUAUGGUUAAGGUGAAUGUGUGAAUUUACCCGAUGAAGGUCUAAGACCAAAACGUUGUAUGUUCUAAAUAAAUUAUUGCUUGUGUAUUUGACUCUUUCUAAGUUCCCGAUCAGCUACUUUUGGUCACAUCUUACGCACCUGCCCGACAAAAGAGGUGUGCAAAAAAAGCUUUUCUAUCUUACACACAUUUAUAUAUGACAUAUAA